CUGGUUUUGGGUGUGUGUGUCCCUGUAGCGGUGGUGGUGGUGGUGGUGGUGCUGUCUGCUGUUCUGCUGCUCUUCUACAAAAAGAGGACUGAGCACUCUGAUGGUUCUAACAAGAGAGGAACCACAGACAUCACCAGGACUGAGAUUGACCUGUAUGAGAACUGUCCUCCACCCUCCAGCCGUGCAGACUCCACCUACCAGAGUCUGGAUCCAGCCUCCAGGGAUCCGGACCACAUCUACUCUACUCUCUCUUAGAUACAACACCAAUGAGGACGUCAGCAAGAGUUUCUGCUGAAUGCACAGUGAAGCCUGGCUGCUGCUCAUGGCAGGGAAGGAUUUUAUUACCAACCAGAAGCAUUUCUAGGACUUUAGGAGGUUCGGGGCUUAUCCCGGACCCAUUUAAAUCAGGGAUGCACCGAAUCC